GAUGAACGCUGGCGGCGUGCCUAAUACAUGCAAGUCGAGCGAACGGACGAGAAUCUUGCUUUUCUGAUGUUAGCGGCGGACGGGUGAGUAACACGUGGAUAACCUACCUAUAAGACUGGGAUAACUUCGGGAAACCGGAGCUAAUACCGGAUAAUAUUUUGAACCGCAUGGUUCAAAAGUGAAAGACGGUCUUGCUGUCACUUAUAGAUGGAUCCGCGCUGCAUUAGCUAGUUGGUAAGGUAACGGCUUACCAAGGCAACGAUGCAUAGCCGACCUGAGAGGGUGAUCAGCCACACUGGAACUGAGACACGGUCCAGACUCCUACGGGAGGCAGCAGUAGGGAAUCUUCCGCAAUGGGCGAAAGCCUGACGGAGCAACGCCGCGUGAGUGAUGAAGGUCUUCGGAUCGUAAAACGCUGUUAUUAGGGAAGAACAUAUGUGUAGGUAACUGUGCACAUCUUGACGGUACCUAAUCAGAAAGCAACGGCUAACUACGUG
rnacentral:rRNA from 1 species